rnacentral:sRNA from 1 species
AAAGCCAACACCUAUUGAGUUGCAGUUAAAAUGAGGGCGAAAAAGGCUUUUGUUUCAGUUCUGCAGAUGGUCUGGGAGCUUGUGUUUCUUAGCAAGAAUUUUCUAGAUCUUUUGGCUUGAACCAUCUGAAUAACUGCCUCAAGCUUUUGCAUGGUUCCCACUGGGUGGGCUGGGGUGGGAGGGGCUGUCAUGCAUGGUCCGGGAAAGCUGGAGAAGGCUGUUCCUUCACCCCGAGCCUUGGAUUUCUUAUCUGUGAAAUGGGAGGCUGCAAUGAUGAAUGGCAAAGUACCUUUUUUUUUUCAGCUUUGAAAGUCUAGGAUAUUUAGCCACUGGAAGACCAGCAGACAAUGUCAUGACAACUCAAGAGGAUACAACAGGGUUGCUUCAAAAGACAAGUCUUUGGACCAUGUCAAGACCUGGAGCGAAGAAGGUAAUGAACUCCUGCUUCAUAGCAGGCCGUGGGCCAGCAGUUUGCUACUCUGCUGUCUCUUGGUUAAGGCAAGGUUUCAGUAUCGCCCUGACUUCUUUUGGAAGGAUCCCUUGGCCUCAGGCUGGAGUGGGCACCUGCCCUAGCCCACAGAGCUGGGUUUCUCCCUUUCUUCAACCACACAGGAAGCACCACUAUGCAAAGACCUCAUCACGUUCACAGCCGUCUCCCCAGAGCCUCGCACUGUGCUUGGCAUAUAGCAGGUGCUCAGUAAAUAUCUGCCAAAUGACUGAAUGCAUCUCACCAGCCUCAGGACGCCACCAGGCCCUGAGGGAGCCAGGAGGAUCAGAGGAAAGCUUUUGGAUUCCUGCCACGCCUUACAUUAGCAACAUCUUCUCCGAGUCCUGACAGCCAGCCUCCUGGGACACCAUUCGAGCCAGCUGAAUUCCGGUCACCGCUUCACCUUGGAAAGGCAUCCGCAGCCCUCACCAAGCGCCCCGUAAUUGACGUCACA